rnacentral:rRNA from 1 species
UUGAACGCUGGCGGCAGGCCUAACACAUGCAAGUCGCGCGGAUGAAGGGAGCUUGCUCCUGGAUUCAGCUGCGGACGGGUGAGUAAUGCCUCGGAAUCUGCCUGGUCGUGGGGGAUAACGUCCGGUAACGGGCGCUAAUACCGCAUACGUCCUGUGGGUUAAAGUGUGUGAUCUUCGGACCUCACUCUAUCUUUUUAUCCUAGGUCGGAUUAGCUAGUUGGUGGGGUAAAGGCCUACCAAGGCGACGAUCCGUAACUGGUCUGAGAGGAUGAUCAGUCACACUGGAACUGAGACACGGUCCAGAGUACUACGGGAGGCAGCAGUGGGGAAUAUUGGACAAUGGGCGAAAGCAUGAAGCAGCAAGGCCGCGUGUGUGAAGAAGGUCUUCGGAUUGUAAAGCACUGUAAGUAGGGAGGAAGGGAAGUAAGAUAAUACCUUGAUGUUUUGACGGUACCAACAGAAUAAGCAACGGCUAACUACGUG